CCUACGGGAGGCAGCAGUAGGGAAUCUUCCGCAAUGGACGAAAGUCUGACGGAGCAACGCCGCGUGAGUGAUGAAGGCUUUCGGGUCGUAAAACUCUGUUGUGUAGGGAAGGAACAAGUACGAGGAGAGUAACUGCUCGUACCUUGACGGUACCUAACCAGAAAGCCACGGCUAACUACGUGCCAGCAGCCGCGGUAAUACGUAGGUGGCAAGCGUUAUCCGGAAUUAUUGGGCGUAAAGCGCGCGCAGGCGGUUUCUUAAGUCUGAUGUGAAAGCCCACGGCUCAACCCGUGGAGGGUCAUUGGAAACUGGGGAACUUGAGUGCAGAAGAGAAAAGCGGAAUUCCACGUGUAGCGGUGAAAUGCGUAGAGAUGUGGAGGAACACCAGUGGCGAAGGCGGCUUUUUUGGUCUGUAACUGACGCUGAGGCGCGAAAGCGUGGGGAGCAAACAGGAUUAGAUACCCUGGUAGUCCACGCCGUAAACGAUGAGUGCUAAGUGUUAGAGGGUUUCCGCCCUUUAGUGCUGCAGCUAACGCAUUAAGCACUCCGCCUGGGGAGUACGGUCGCAAGACUGAAACUCAAAGGAAUUGACGGGGGCCCGCACAAGCGGUGGAGCAUGGUGGUUUAAUUCGAAGCAACGCGAAGAACCUUAC
rnacentral:rRNA from 1 species